AUUGAGUUGGCUUUUAAACCUUGGCUCGACAAGGCUCGAGCCUCCAUGGACAAGUCCGACCCUACUCGUGAUCCUGACGACAUCGAUCUCGACGCCGGCGCUAAGGCGUCGUCGGAUGAAAUCGACCCUGCAGCUGCCUCCUCCUCCUCCUCAGCGGCCCCCUCUGAUUGAUUAAUCCUGCCAUCCAAAACUACCAAUAAGUUGCUUAUUCCCCUCUACAUAUUCCUACGAGUUAGAUCUGAUAUUGUUUUUUAUUGCUUCAAAUUUCUGGAUUGGUAUAGAUUUGAAUCUGUGUUCUCUUAAUUUGUUGAAUCAAACUUAUAGUUUUGAAAUUUCGCAUUAAGAUUUUUAAACCCUGUUCGACGAUUACGAAUUGAUAAAAAUAUCGGUGAUAUCAAACGAGCGUAAACAGAAUCGAUUCAUCAAAAUCAUAUGAUAUGAUUUACAUGCUUACCAAUCUGUCUAUGGAGUUAAUGCAAGCAUCCGGCAACAACCAAGCUGUUAAUCAUUAUGUAAAGCAUGUGUUGUGGCCGGCAUAGGUCCAUCCGGAGAUCUAUCUAAUUCAUUAAUGAAGAAGAUAAUGAUCCUUUAAAACAAUGAACAUGUAUCAUCACUUAUUAUCCAUGCCCUACAAUGGAACAACUCUUUUUAUAUGUUUGUUUCUUAGUUAAUGAAAACUUACAAAAAAAAAAAACAUAAUCAUAAAACACAAAUCCAAUGAUACCCAUAAGAAUUGUUUGGUUUACAUAUUGAAAAUGAUUAUUAAAUGGUUUAAGAAUCAACAAUUUGGAUAUUUAUCUUUGGAUUUUGUUUAGUAGGAUGCAAUUGAAUAAUUAAAGAUGGUAAUGGUAAUGGAAUAGAUCAUCACAUUUUAUGUCAUCUUUAGUGGACCCGAUGAAAUUGGGCAUUCAAAUAUUUCUUUGUUAUAAAAAAAAACAAAGUAAACUGAAUCAAAAUGAUAAAUAAAGAAAAAUAAUAGUAAUAAUUUAUAAUAGUAAAUUUUAAUUAAAUAAAAAUCCAUUGUUAGAUGAUUUAGACAAUAUCCUUAUUAUUUAUCUAGGUCAUCAAUUAUAUCCUUAUUAUUUAUCUAGGUCAUAAAUUAUAUCUUUAAACUAGCAACUUAAAGCUUUUACAAUUAACUUUAGUUUGACAAUUCUUUAAACUUUAAUACUAAUCAUUUUAUGUAAAUUAAGAGCCUUUUUAGUAAAAAAAAUGAUAAACUACACCGUCUGAGUAGUCCACGUCAAUUUAUCAUAAAACUCAAGUGUUAGGUUAAUUGUGAAACACUAGUAAUAACCAUCUGAACAGUCCACGUCAACAUAUCCUAAAACUCAAGAGUGAGGUUAAUUGUGAAACACUAGUAGUAUUUAAAAUUAUUAACGUAACUUUUGCAAACAAAAAAGAAAACAUAAUGGUCAACCUUUAGCAUUGUGUAAAAUAUAUUUUAACAAUUAUUUGAGAUUGGUUAUGUAGUUUUGUUAAAAGAUACCACUUGAGUACAACUAUGAUAUUCACCACAUGUUUGGUGUAUGUGUUUUAAUUUUUGUGUGUUUUUUCAUAGAUAAGUAAAAUGACAAUUAUACUAUUUUUUUCCUUUUAACUAAUUUUAAUAAUAAUAACCCCCUCCCACACACUUGAAUAUCAUAACACAUUUGGAUAUUGUAGUACAUUUUUGGAUAUGAUGGCAUACUUGGAUAUAAUGGCACACUUGGAUACGAUGCACUACUCAAAUAUGAUGGCGCUUUUUGGUAUGGAGCAUCUGAUAGAAGAUUGGAGCAUCGAAGGAGGUGACAUGUACUGGAGGUGCCACUUAAUGAUACAUCAACAAGAGAAUGACACCUCUAAGAAGUGUCAUGCAUAGGAUGUGCCACUCAAUAGCACCUUGAAGACGUUCAAUGCACAUGAGGUGUCACUCAAUGUCACACUGAUGUUUCGUCAUGGCACCUCGACGUUGUGUCAUAGAGUGAUACAUGGUGCCUUCAAGUAACAAGGUGUGCCAUGCAAUGACACCGGAUGUGCCAGUGGUGGAUUGUUGAUGCCAAUGCGAUGUAUCUCAUGGGCCUAUGGAUUAAUGGGCUUGGCCCAUUAGGGUUUUAGGUCUGAUUCCUAGUCUAUAAAUAAGGAUGCAUGCUAGUCUUUUGAAAGUGUCUUGAAUCCUUAGUGAGUAGGUGAAUCUCUAUUGAAUUGUACUUGUAAUCUCUGUUUGAGAACUCAGUAAAUAAAGAAUACUCCCAUCCUGCCCGUAAACAUAGGCCAGCUUGACCGAACCACGUAAAUAUUGUGUCUUUGUGUGCUUUUGGUUUCGUGUUAUAAACAUUACUUCCCAACAAGGGUCAUCAGAUCUUGGCAAGUGGCAUCAAUUUUGUUCUUAUUGUUGACAAGUGUCGUAUGGUUUCCCUAACAAGUGUUAAUGUUCUGUUGAUUAAAUAUGACAUCUUACAAGUUUGAUUUGGAGAAAUUUAACGGUCCAAAUGAUUUCACUUUAUGGAAGGUGAAGAUGAAGGCUCUUCUUGUUCAACAAGGAUGUGAAGUGGCAUUGGAAGGAGAAGCGAAACUGCCAAAGGACAUGGCGGCUGAAAGGAAUGUGGAUAUUAUGGCAAGACCGCAUAACCCUAUUCUAUUGAAUUUGACAGGUGAAGUACCAAGAGAGGUCAUGGAUCAAACGAGUGUUGAUGACCUUUGUAAA
rnacentral:lncRNA from 1 species